rnacentral:rRNA from 1 species
UGGGGAAUAUUGCACAAUGGGCGAAAGCCUGAUGCAGCAACGCCGCGUGAGUGAUGAAUGUCUUCGGAUUGUAAAGCUCUGUCUUCUGGGACGAUAAUGACGGUACCAGAGGAGGAAGCCACGGCUAACUACGUGCCAGCAGCCGCGGUAAUACGUAGGUGGCGAGCGUUGUCCGGAUUUACUGGGCGUAAAGGGUGCGUAGGCGGAUGUUUAAGUGAGAUGUGAAAUACCCGGGCUUAACUUGGGUGCUGCAUUUCAAACUGGAUAUCUAGAGUGCAGGAGAGGAGAACGGAAUUCCUAGUGUAGCGGUGAAAUGCGUAGAGAUUAGGAAGAACACCAGUGGCGAAGGCGGUUCUCUGGACUGUAACUGACGCUGAGGCACGAAAGCGUGGGUAGCAAACAGG